CUACGGGUGGCUGCAGGCGCGAAACCUUUACAAUGUACGUAAGUGCGAUAAGGGAACUCCCAGUGCUCACGUAAUGCAUGGGCUUUUGUUAAGUGUAAAUAGCUUGGCGAAUAAGUGGUGGGUAAGACGGGUGCCAGCCGCCGCGGUAACACCUGCGCCACGAGUGGCAUUCACGUUUACUGGGCCUAAAGCGUUCGUAGCCGGAUAGAUAAGUCUUAAGUGAAAUCGUUGCGCUUAACAAAACGACGUGCUUGAGAUACUGUUUAUCUAGGGACCGGGAGGAGUUAGGGGUAUUCCAGAGGGAGCGGUAAAAUGCUGUAAUCUCUGGAGGACCACCUGUGGCGAAGGCGCCUAACUAGAACGGGUCCGACGGUGAGGAACGAAAGCCAGGGGAGCAAAACGGAUUAGAUACCCGGUGUAGUC
rnacentral:rRNA from 1 species